UUAGGAAUUGGUGAAAAAAAAUGACCUAAACAACAGACCGAUCUCUUGUUUGGGAGCUGGUUUUCUUCGAAGCACUAAAACUAAGUGAAUUUAGUUAAGAGUCGAAUGGAAAUACCAGGACAGUAGCAAUUGACUGGUACAAAGUAGCAAAAAAACUGCCAGAAGAUGGUCCAGCAUAUUAUAUGUAACACGAACUUGUUUGGAAAGGUUCUCUUAGCAUAGAAUAUUUCAGGUAAUUAUAUUUUAACUUCACAUGUUAAGCAAUAAAUGAAAUUUGCUAUCUAUAAGAAAAGUCCUUGAUAUAGAACAUAGAAAUAA